AUUGAACGCUGGCGGCAGGCCUAACACAUGCAAGUCGAGCGGAUGAAGGGAGCUUGCUCCUGUCUUCAGCGGCGGACGGGUGAGUAAUGCCUAGGAAUCUGCCUUGUAGUGGGGGAUAACGUCCGUAAACGGGCGCUAAUACCGCAUCCGUCCUGAUGGAGAACGUGGUGGAUCUUCGGACCUCACGCUAUCAGCUGAGCCUAGGUCGGAUUAGCUAGUUGGUGGGGUAAAGGCCUACCAAGGCGACGAUCCGUAACUGGUCUGAGAGGAUGAUCAGUCACACUGGAACUGAGACACGGUCCAGACUCCUACGGGAGGCAGCAGUGGGGAAUAUUGGGCAAUGGGCGAAAGCCUGACCCAGCAACGCCGCGUGUGUGAAGAAGGUCUUCGGAUUGUAAAGCACUGUAAGUAGGGAGGAAGGGAAGUAAGUGAAAACAUGGAUGUUUUGACGGUACCAACAGAAUAAGCAACGGCUAACUUCGUG
rnacentral:rRNA from 1 species